rnacentral:rRNA from 1 species
UACGUAGGGUGCGAGCGUUGUCCGGAAUUACUGGGCGUAAAGGGUGCGUAGGCGGGUCUUUAAGUCAGGGGUGAAAUCCUGGAGCUCAACUCCAGAACUGCCUUUGAUACUGAGGAUCUUGAGUUCGGGAGAGGUGAGUGGAACUGCGAGUGUAGAGGUGAAAAUUCGUAGAUAUUCGCAAGAACACCAGUGGCGAAGGCGGCUCACUGGCCCGAUACUGACGCUGAUGCACGAAAGCGUGGGGAGCAAACAGG